GGAAGCUAAGGAAGCGUUUCUGACGCUCUGGCGCCUGGACUUCCUCUCACCCUCGCCCCCACAUCACCCCGUUCGCCACCGGGAGCUGCACGAGUGCGACACGCAAGGGAGCGCAGGUGUCCUCGCGGUCCCGCAUCACAUCCGCAAGCCGUUUUCCCCAGCUCGGGGGCUGUUAUCUGGCCCGGAUUCCGCAGGAUGGCGAGUCCACCCCAGCGCCUCCACUCCCCGCCCUCCUUCGGGUCGCCAGGCCCUCGGGUGAUUCAGAAAUUCAUCAAAUCCAAAUGGCAGUGGGCUCUCUGUCAGGCAGGAAACAAGCCGCACCGAAGGCUCGGCAGGUUCCUCCUCGCGGCUGUGGUAAUGGAAAAGGAGCCGCCGAGUGGAGCUAAAGAGGAAGGAAGGACCCUCCGUCUGGCGCGCCUCUUUCCCGCGCCUCCCGCCCUGUACGUGUGAUGUCCCCAGCUGUCUCUCUGUUUCUCCAAGUGCCAACCACUUCACAGAUUCAGGCGUCCUCAAGUGGAGAAAACCACUGGGCACCCGGCUUCCGGCCCCGCCACUUAGUGUCGUUAUGGCGCUGCCUCUUACAGGUGGCGGUAAAGGGCGACUGUAAACAGCCGAUUAAACAGAUGCAAAUGUACACAAUGUACCGUGGAAUUACCGGGUGCCGCUCUGGGCACCUGCCAAGAACAGCUACUGCAUGGAGGGGAGGAGGGAGCAAAAAAAGUAGUUCCAUUUUGUUUUCUGAUCAAUGAAUGAGACUUUGGGGAUUUCAAAAUACUUCCAGCGCCCAGGAGACUACUCCUUGCUUUUGGCUCUGUGCUUAAAUGGUAGAUAUUUUUGUCAAGUA
rnacentral:antisense_RNA from 1 species